GUAAAUGACCUGGAGAGCCGUGUUUGGAGCAUCAAUUGGUUCUUUAGCCUGGACACAGAUCUGGAGGCAUAGAGGUAAGAGGGAAACUAACGAACUCACCAUUCCCCCGGUAAGGUACUUGAGGAGGAGGCAAGCCAGGGAAGAACCCAGCAACUGGGCGAUGAUGUAAAGGAUAGACCGAAAGAGGGUGAUGUGGCCGCCGACGGCGAGUCCCAGCGUCACCGCCGGGUUGAGGUGGCCGCCGGAGAUGUGGAGCCCCGCCGAUAUCAUGACC
rnacentral:lncRNA from 1 species